GGAGCUAAUUGAGUUAUUGAAUGCAUUCUGUUAUUAUGAUUAGAAAUAAAUAAUAACAGAUAAUUUGGUCCUGAAUAAAUUUGUCAUUUAAAUGGACAAUUAUAACCCAUUCCAAAGGUAGAAAAAUGAAACAAAAUCUAAACAAAUCUAAAUGAUGACUAUUGUACAAAAUUUUCUUGCUAAUCUAUGUCAGUCUCCUUUAGUGUAAGAUUUAUAGCCCAUUGAAGUGAGAAGUAAUAUGCAAGAAAACGUCUUCUGUGCAAGGAAUUGUGAGGCCGCCCAUUGGAUGGUCAUAUCCAAAUUCUUCCUCGGCUUGACUCAACAGGUUUUGAAAUGAAGCUUGGUUCAAGUAUGACGUGGGGAUAACAAAUCGCUUCAUUUGCUCUCCAACGUACACUGCAAGAUAGCCCUUUGGCACAUUCAAUACUUUUGAUGUUUGGCUACUGCUGAAUGAAGCCCGUCUAAUAGCUGCAGGUAAACGGAAACCCAUUUCAAAUGUUUUGAAGAACAAGAUGAAUUUCUCAGAUAUAAGAUAAGUGUAUAAAAGAUUGAUUGCUUGAGUGAUUUGUGAUUGUUGUGAAGGAGGACACUGUAUUUAUAGUUUCCAAGAGUUUUUUGAAAUCCCUUUGCUAGGGAAUUGAUUGUUAAAAGAAUAGGGCCCAUGAGACAAGAGAUCACAUGGGAUUGUCUUAGAUGCCUCUAUCAAGGAUCAAUAAGUUCAAUAAGAGUGCAAACUGUAACCACUCAAAAUCUAAAGAGAUAUACUUAUCUUGUUAUACUCAAUGCUUGUACAAUGCCAACUCAUUUCUUCUUAGACAUGCAUCAGACAUGGCACAUGUUCUCUUUACAUCGAUAACACAACUUUAUGUUGAUGAAUGACCUGACGAAUUAUGAGAAAAAUAUCAGUCAUACGCAAUCACAUUAUUUAUCAACUGUGCAUAUUUACUGUUCUUGAUUUAGUUUUUGAAGGUCCAGGUUGGAGACAAUAGACAAGAUAUGGUUCACAAGAGAUCACAUGAUACUCUCAAGAGGUCUUUUUCAAAGAUUGAAUGAUUGCUUAAGACUUGAGACAAUAAUUAAAUAUAUGUCCCACGUUAAGAAACUUGGUCGUUACAAUUUACAAAGGCUAAAAAUUUCUGAUAUCAAAACUUGGUCCUACCAAAUACCUUAUGAAUUAUGAUUAUUUUCUGUGCAAAACGCAUAAAAUUUAUACUAAGGUAAUCAAGAUUGAAAGUCCGUUCACUUAUCAGAAUUAAAUGCUACAAAGCUCAAGCUUUUUGGUAAGAAAAAACCUCUGAAAGGACUUAUCCCAAUACAUAAACUGAUACUACCUCAUCAAUUAUGAAGAAGAUUUAACAAAUACCAAGUUAGUUGGAGCACUGCCUUUUCAAUGCAGUAAAGUUUGCAAGAAUACAAAGUAUGACACAUUUUAAAUCCUGCUAGUUCUGUGGAAGAGUGAAAACACAAAACACGAUGAAAUUCAAUCAUUUUGCAGGAGUCUAUCCAUAUGAAGACGAGACUUGCAACAACUUCCAAGUAUAUUUCAUGGUUGAUUGAAUUUUAUGCAUCCUCUAGACUUAAGUGGGGUUAAAACGAAGACAAAGGCUAAGACAAAGUACCAUUUUAGAUGAUUCAUUUUUUAACUACAUUUCAAUGGUUCAUGAAACAUUACACUUUUUAACCAUUUGACUAAUUCAGACCUCGCAAUGACAUCAUAGAUCUUCCAUAUCUUAUAUAUAUUCCCACCUUUUACCUUCAACCCUAAUCCACCCUAGGCAACUGUCACCCAUUGACCGACCCUAUUCCAGCCAUCAGCUUGCCUUCGUUAUAGAUCGUGGCUCUUGUGUCGUAAAUAUCACUAGAGCCACUGUCAGGUUGUCUCAUACAUGCAUUAGAUAUGUCUUUGCUCAGCCGUGAAAGCGUGGCUUUCUAUUUCAUGCAGUCAUGAAGGUUGCCUUGCUCUCCCACUCAUAGGGAAGGUAAUGGGCAGGUAAUAAAGCACUCCUCGUCCCAACAUCUGCAGCGGAAAAACAUUUGUAUUCAAAUCCAACGUAGAUUUUAUAGUUGUCGUUGAAGCGGAAUACAACCGAACAAUGUUGAGUUUGGCAGAAUGUUUUAUUAGGCUGAUAAAUUUAAAAUUGGCUGGAUAAUAAUAAAUUUACAAUAAUUUUUUUUCAAAGACUAAAAUAUGUUUCAAAUUUUGCUCGCUCAGGUUGUAUAUUCACAGCACAAUCGCCUUCAACACAAGGAUAGUAAGACAGAUUAAAGAAAUUUGAAUUUUGAUAAUAAGAUCCUAUUUCUCGCAAAGGAUAAAUUCAUCAAUCCACCGCGACAGUGUUUUGUAGUCAACCCUCUUAUGUUAACUUUCUCUAUCUAUCCUAAAACUUUCAUGAUUUUCGGAAAUGUUGGUUUUUCAUUGGCUAGUUUGUCUUUAGCAAUCAAAUUACGAAGAUGCAUUUGCUAUAUAUAGCAUCGCAGUUUUAAUAAACACAUAUAUACUUUAUUUUUAUCCCAAGUAAUCAUUAGUUUUGUAACUUAAUGUAAAUAGAAGCAUAUAAGAGCCCUUUGAGUUGUUGAAUGUAGUGUGUCAUUAUGAUUAGAAUUAGAAAUAAAUAAUAACAAACAAUCUCUUCCUGAAUUUGUCAUUCAGAUGGACAAUGCUAACCCAUUCCAAAGGUAUGAAAAGGAAAAAAAAUCUUUACAAAUCUAAAUCAUGACUAUAAUAUACAAAGUGUCCUAGCUAAUCUAUGUCAGUCUUCUUUAGUGUAAGAUUUAUAGCCCAUUGAAGCGAGAAGUAAUUUCCAUGAAAAUGUCUUCUGUGCAAGGAAUCGUGAGGCCACCCAUUGGGUGAUCAUAUCCAAAUUCUUCCUCUGCUUGACUCAAUAAGUUUUGAAAGGAAGCUUGGUUCAAGUAUGACAUGGGGAUAACAAACCGCUUCAUUUGCUCUCCAACAUAUACUGCAAGAUAGCCCUUUGGUACAUUCACAGCUUUUGAUGAUGCUUGGCUACUUGUAAAUGAAGUUCGUCUAAUAGCAGGUAAAUGGAAACCCAUUUCAAAUGUUUUGAUGAAAAAACUGAAUUUCUCUGAUUUAAGAAAAAUGUUUCUAAAUUUGUUUGCUUGAAUGAUUUGUGAAGUUGUGAAGAAGGACAGUGUAUUUAUAGAUUUCAAGUAUCUUUGAAAUUCAUUUGUUAGAAAAUGAUUGUUAAAAUGAUGGGGCCCAUGAGACAAGAGAUCACAUGGUAUUGUCUCAAGAGGUCAUACGCAAUCACAUUAUUUAUCAACUGUGAAUGACCGCAGCUUCAAAGUAGAUUUCAUGGUUUAAUUAUGCAUUGGAUUUCAAGCAAUAAUAGCAACCAAGUGUUCAAUUCUAUAGAAACCAGGACAAAAUACUUGAUAAGUAUGUUUAGAUCUUGUCUGAAACAUGUAAAGAAGGUCUCUUUCACAAACCUAAUCCUCAGUGAAAACCUCCAAGACAGUGGCAUGUGAUCAUUAAUGAGACAUGUCCCUAACUAAACCCCAUUGAAUAACUCAUUCACCAUACAAUUGGUUUCUUAAGUCUAUAUAUACCCCUCUUUGGAUUUACAAGCAACACAAAUAAUUCUUACCUUGAAGCAAUCAGAACUCAAGUUCACUUAUACUACUUCUUUGAGAUUUCAUUCUGUUGUGAAGAAACAAAAACAAGAAUGGGUUUUCGCUUACCUGGUAUUAGACGAUCAUCAUUUAGUGCAAGUCAAUCAUCUAUCAAACAAGUGGAAGUUCCAAAAGGCUAUCUUGCAGUGUAUGUUGGAGAGAAAAUGAGAAGGUUUAUGAUUCCAGUAUCAUUCUUGAAUGAGCCUUUAUUUCAAGAAUUGCUUAGCCAAUCUGAAGAGGAAUUCGGUUAUUGUCAUCCAAUGGGCGGUCUUACAAUUCCCUGCAAAGAAGACAUGUUCUUACAUACAACUUCUGUCUUGAACAGGCUAUAACUAAUUUGUAUGAAUGAUAACAUAGAUAUGGAUGAUAACAUAGGAGAGUAGGAUUGACCAGUUGAGACAAUUUUUGUACAUCAGAAAUUUCUUUGUCAAUUUUGAUGUUUCCUCUUAGGUGGAAAUCAUAAAUGAGAACCUUAUGAAACUAUAUUCUUGUGAAUUUGUGUUGUUUCUUGUGUCAUCUAAAAUAAUUAAAUUUCAUGCACAAACACAAGCCAGGACUGGUAAUUCUUUUACAUAUAUUACGGGGUCAUAUAAACCUUUGUUCAAAGAAAACCUUUCUUUAGACUAUAAGGAUAAGCGAAUUGUAAAUGAAGAAAUGAAUAUACUGACAGUUGAUCACAUAAACCAACGCUAGUAACCAAUUAAUCCGUGAGUUGCAUGUUUCUUGUGAUGUUUGAAGAAUGUGAUGGAGAUCGUAAUCACGAGGACUUCCCAUGAUCUUCACAUGGACUUGUCGUAAAAAAAAUAUAAUAACACAAUUAAGCUAAAAACAGUUAAAAGUAAAAAUGUUUUCUCUAGAGUGAUUCUACAGUUUUUUUUAAACCAUCCCUAUAGCAAAAUUAAAAGAGAAAUUGGCCAAAAUAAUAAGUACAAAUGAUGAUUCUUAGAAUUUACAUUGGAUCUAAUUCAACCUUAAGUGAGAGGUGUCAACCUUUACAGCAUCCUUUACAAUCAUCACAAGCUUGCAUUCAGAGGUUAGGUUUGUGUAAGACUUAAGUUGAUGAUUGAAUCUCACUGGACUUGGAAUAGUUGGAGGAGCUUUCUUUUUUCAUUUUAGCUUAAUAUCUCUCCCUAGAUGAAGAAGCAGUUGAUAGAAGCAAUGGACAUGUAAAAAAAUUGUGAGCUUAGAUCUAAGAUAACCUAUCAACUAUUAUAAUUUGGCUGAAUGUUUUAUUAUUAGGCCAGAGAAAUUUGCAGGAAUAUUGGAAGCUCGACAUUUCUUACAGGAGAUACCCUUAUGUCAUCAUUAUAACUCAAGAAAAUUUAGAUAUUGUUCGAUAUUUCUUUUUCUUUUUCUUUAUUUCAAGGAAUCACCAGUUUUAUAAUUUAUAAAUAGAAGCACAUAGGAGCUGAUUGAGUUAUUGAAUGGAUUCUGUCAUUAUUAUUAGAAAUAAAUAAUAACAAAUAAUUUGGUUCUGAAUGAAUUUGUCAUUUAGAUGGAUAAUUCUAACCCAUUCCAAAGGUAGAAAAAUGAAACAAAAUCUAUAAAAAUUUCUCUGCUAAUCUAUGUCAGUCUCCUUUAGUGUAAGAUUUAUAGCCCAUUGAAGCGAGAAGUAAUAUGCAAGAAAACAUCUUCUGUGCAGGGAAUUGUGAUGCCGCCCAUUAAUUGGAUGGUCAUAUCCAAAUUCUUCCUCGGCUUGACUCAACAAGUUUUGAAAUGAAGCUUGGUUCAAGUAUGACGUGGGGAUAACAAACCGCUUCAUUUGCUCUCCAAUGUACACUGCAAGAUAGCCCUUUGGCACAUUCAAUGCUUUUGAUGUUUGACUACUGCUGAAUGAAGCCCGUCUAAUAGCUGCAGGUAAACGGAAACCCAUUUCAAUUUUUUUUGAAGAACAAGACGAAUUUCUCAGAUGUAAGAUAAGUGUAUAUAAGUUUGAUUGCUUGAGUGAUUUGUGAUUGUUGUGAAGGAGGACCCUAUAUUUAUAGUUUCCAAGAGUUUGUUGAAAUCCCUUUGCUAGAGAAAUGAUUGUUAUAAGGCCGGGGCCCAUGAGAUGAGAGAUCACAUGGUGUUGUCUUAGAUGCCACUAUUAAGGAUCAAUAAGUUCUAUAAGAGUGAAAACCCUAUCUUUAGAAUGAAAGGCUCAUGAUAAACUCAAUGCUUGUACAAUAUCUAUUCAUUUCAGACAGGCAUCAGACACGGCACAUGUUCUCUUCACAUUGAUAACGCAACUUAAUGUUGAUGAAUGACCUGAUGAAUUAUGAUAAAAAUAUCAGUCAUACGCAAACACAUUAUUUAUCAAUUGUGCAUAUUUACUGUUCUUGAUUUAGUUUUUGAAGGGCCAGGUUGGAGACAAUAGACAAGCAGACUAUGGUUCACCAAGAGAUCACAUGAUAUUCUCAAGAGGUCUUUCUCAAAGAUUAAAGUGGUAACAAAAAAUCUCUAAAACGAGUUAUCCCAAUACAAAACUGAUUCUACAAUGUAAGCAACUUAAAAGUGAAAAUUCAUCAUCAAUUAUGAAGAUCUAAGAACUACCAAGUUAAUUGAAACACUGCCUUUUCAAUGCAGGAAAGCCUGCAAGAAUACAAAGUAUGGCACAUUUUAAAUACUGCCACUUCAAUGGAAAAGCGAAAAUUUGAAACAUGUUGCAGGAGUCUUUUUUGGGUAGUGGCCGAGGUUUGAACCCCGGACCUUGCAUAUUUUAUGUAUUGUCCCAACCAACUGAGCUAAGCAACACAAAUCAUUCUUACCUCGAAGCAUCAUAAUUCAAGUUCACUUAUUUUUUUCUACUACUUUGAGAUCAUUCUGUUCUGAAGAAGCAAAACAAGAAUGGGUUUUCGUUUACCUGCUAUUAGACGAUCAUCAUUUAGUGCAAGUCAAUCAUCUAACAAACAAGUGGAAGUCCCAAAAGGCCAUCUUGCGGUGUAUGUUGGAGAGAAAAUGCGAAGGUUCAUGAUUCCAAUAUCAUUCUUGAAUGAGCCUUUAUUUCAAGAAUUGCUUAGCCAAGCUGAAGAGGAAUUCGGUUAUUGUCAUCCAAUGGGUGGUCUCACAAUUCCCUGCAAGGAAGACGUAUUCUUACAUACAGCUUCUCUCUUGAACGGUCUAUAAUUAAUUCACAUGAAUGCUAACAUAGUCAUAUGAAUGAUAACAUAUAUAGGACAAUAGGAUUGACCAAUUGAGACAAUUUUUGUACAUCAGCAAUUUUUUUGUCAAUUUUGAUGUUUCCUCUUAAGUGGAAAUCUUAAAUGAGAACUUUAAGAAAUUAUAUUCUUCUGAAUUUAUGUGUUCUUUUUUAGUGUCAUUUCAAAUAAUUGCAUUGCAUGCACAAACACAAGCCAUGCACGAAGACUAGUAAUUCUUUUGCAUAUAUUACGAGGCCAUACAACCCUUUGUUUAAAGAAAAUCUGUCUUAAACUAUAAGGAUAAGCGAAAUGUAAAUGAAGAAAUGAAUAUACCAAUAAUUGAUCAGAUAAACCAAUGUUAGUCACCAAUUAAUCUGUGAUUUGCAUGUUUCUUGUGAUGUUUGAAGAAUGUAGUGAAGAUCACGAUCACAAGGACUUUCCGUGCUCUUCAGAUGGACUUGUCGUAAAAAAUGUUAACAGAAAGCACGUCAUUAGCGGCAACCCUUUUCUCUGAUUUCCUAUCAGGCUUCCACUAAUUAUAAGAGAGUAUGUUUCGUAUUCCUUCGAUCAAAGGAUUGCCAAAAUAAAGUAUGUUAAGAUAAAUUGUUGUAUAUGGAGUUCUGUCAUGCAAGUUUUGAUAAAUAACAACACCAUUCAUAACAAACAGUGAUAAAUAAUAACACAUUUGAGAUAAACAGUAACUAAAAAUGUUAAAAGUAAAAACAUUUUUUCUAGAGUGCAAUUGGCAAUUUUUAGAAUUUGGGUUGAACUUAACUCAACUUUACAAAACCGACUUGUAAGGUGAGGGGCGUCACUCUUUACAAACUCUAAUCGGAUCUUAUUUUUAUUCAACGUGGAACUUGAGUCUUUCCCAAUAGUUAUAUAGAAUUUAUAAUCAUCACAAGCUUGCUUUCAGACGUUAGGUCUGUGUAAGACUAAAUUGAUGAUUGAAUCUCAUGGGACUUGGAAUAGUUAGAGGAGCUUUCAUUUUUAUUAUAGCUUAAUUUCUCUGCCUAGAUGAAAAAGCAGUGGAUAGAAGCACAAGACAAGUAAAAAUUUGUGAGCUUUGAUCCAAGAUAGCUUAUACACUAUAUAGUUUGGCUGAAUGUGUUAUUAUGUCAGAGAAAUUUGCAGGAAUAUUCGAUCUCGAUACUGCUUACAGCACAUACCCUUAUCUCAUCAUUAUAAAAAACCAAGGAAAUUUAGAUAUUGUUUCAUAAUUUUUUUUUCCAAGGAAUCACCAAAUUUAUAGUAUAUAAAUAGAAGCAUAUAGGAUCCAAUUGAGUUGUUGAAUGUAUUCUUUCAUUAUGAUUAUGAUUAGAAUGAAAUUAUAACAAAUAAUUUGUUCCUGAAUGAAUUUGUCAUUCAGAUGGACAAUUCUAACACAUUCCAAAGGUAGGAAAAUGAAAUAAAAUCUUUACAAAUCUAAGCGAUCACUAUUGUACAAAAUUUUCUUUCUAAUCUAUGUCAGUCUCCUAUAGUGUAAGAUUUAUAGCCCAUUGAAGUGAGAAGUAAUAUGCAAGAAAACGUAUUCUGUGCAAGGAAUUGUGAGGCCGCCCAUUGGAUGGUCAUAUCCGAAUUCUUCCUCGGCUUGACUCAACAAAUUUUGAAAUGAAGCUUGGUUCAAGUAUGGCAUGGGGACAACAAACCGUUUCAUUUGCUCUCCAACGUACACUGCAAGAUAGCCCUUUGGCACAUUCAAUACUUUGGAUGUUUGGCUACUGCUAAAGGAAGCCCGUCUAAUAGCUGCAGGUAAACGGAAACCCAUUUCAGUUUUUUUUGAAGAACAAGAUGAAUUUCUCAAAUGUAAGAUAAAUGUAUAUAAGUUUGUUUGCUUGAGUGAUUUGUGAUUGUUGUGAAGGAGGACAUUAU
rnacentral:lncRNA from 1 species